ACUUAAAUAGCUUAUUUAGAGUUUAAUAUUGAAGAUAUUAAGGAAAUAUUUUUAUUUUUAAGUA
rnacentral:tRNA from 2 species